ensembl:misc_RNA
GUGACAGCCCUGAAGAAUGAAGUCCUCUGUUUAGCCAUACUACAGAGACAGCAUGGGCAAUGGCUGGACUACCUUCCACCCCCCUGUCCCUUGCUGAUAUGUCUCAGCAGGGACUAUACCUUAGGGGUUGAAACUAAAGAUGGCCUAACUCUCAUUGAUAGGUCACUCCAUUGGGACC